GACGAACGCUGGCGGCGUGCUUAACACAUGCAAGUCGAACGGAAAGGCCCUGCUUUUGUGGGGUGCUCGAGUGGCGAACGGGUGAGUAACACGUGAGUAACCUGCCCUUGACUUUGGGAUAACUUCAGGAAACUGGGGCUAAUACCGGAUAGGAGCUCCUGCUGCAUGGUGGGGGUUGGAAAGUUUCGGUGGUUGGGGAUGGACUCGCGGCUUAUCAGCUUGUUGGUGGGGUAGUGGCUUACCAAGGCUUUGACGGGUAGCCGGCCUGAGAGGGUGACCGGCCACAUUGGGACUGAGAUACGGCCCAGACUCCUACGGGAGGCAGCAGUGGGGAAUAUUGCAGAAUGGGCGGAAGCCUGAUGCAGCAACGCCGCGUGCGGGAUGACGGCCUUCGGGUUGUAAACCGAUUUGGCCUGUGACGAAGCGUGAGUGACGGUAAUGGGUAAAGAAGCACCGGCUAACUACGUG
rnacentral:rRNA from 1 species